UGUUUAUCUGUAAGUGUAACUCUGUAAGUGGUAGGUUUAGGGUUAGGGUCAUAGAAAAUAUUGUUUGGUCAGUAUACAGUAUAAUAGAAGUCUAUGAAAAGUAUCCAGAAUUUUCAGAAACAAACGUGUGUGUGUGUGUGUGUGUAUGUGUGUGUCAUAGAGAGAUCUGCUCUGCUUGUGGAGGGGAGGAUAUACCUGUAUAUAUGGGCCAUGGUUACCUGUACAGGUGUUCUAGUUACAGUGAGCUGGGAUUUAAGGAUGGAUUGGGGAUUACUUCGGGGAAAUGGCCUGCUAAAAGACGAGCUGGUGUUCUCCAAACAGUGGUACUACUAUACAGCCAUGCUGGCGGAUGUGCUGUUGCGGGUCUCCUGGGCUAUAAAUAUCCUCCUGGCUCAGAUGAAGGAUUCAGCUGCAGCUGCCACAGCAAGUGCCCUGCUGGCACUACUGGAAAUCCUCAGACGUUUUAUAUGGAAUCUCUUUCGGCUGGAAAAUGAGCAACUGAAAAACGUUGAGAAAUGUUGUGCUGUUCGAGAUUUCUGCAACAUCUGGAGACGUCUGGAAAAGGAUCAGGAUGUGCUAUCUAAUCACAAAAUCACAACGCGUGCCACAAUAUGCUGUUUACCUCGCCCAAAACACAGGGUAAAGGAGAUAAAACUGCCUGUUAGGGGAACAGAUCCUGAGAUUCAUCCAUGCAUUUAAGGAAGAAAAUAUGUCUUUAUAACUUGAACAAAAUUUUGCUUGAAAUAUUUGAUCAUGCAGGUAUGCAAAUGAAAUGUUAGAUAAGAAAAUUAUUAUCCUGUUAACAAUAAUAAAUUCUGUAACUAUAUCUGUUCACUUAGACCUUACUGAGACAUUUCACAUGCAUUGUAUUUUCUGCAAUAAAGUAAAACUAUCUUUUCAUAUUUCAUUCACGAUAAAUCAAUUUUGUUGUAAUCAAGCAAAAGUCAUUUUUAACCAACAAUAAUAGGCAUAACCUAAUUAUCCCUCAAAAUAAUCCUUUCCUUUAUUUCGCUUCCAAAAAACAAUCAUAUAACCACGUUUCAAAUGUCCAGACCAGCUGAUAUGCAAAAAACAGGCAAGCAUUUACUAUACAGCAGCUUGAGAACAAGAGUAAGAUUAAAAAGCUUGAGAGGGAAAACUGAGAGUCCAGGCUACUCUCUAGAGAACUGUUGUUCUCUGUUCAGCUUCCCUUACUGUACUGAACUCAGCAGUCCCACAGUCAGCUUUGUACAUAGCAACCCCGCUGUCCUGCUGGAGUCAAAGCAGUAUAGUUGAUUUCUGAAGCAUGUAAGUCAUGUUAUAUUAAGGAGAGCCUUUGUCCUUCACUUGUUUUUGCCAUGCAGAAGUCCAUAAUCCAUUUGUUUCUGUAAUUGGCAAGAGUAUUUAGCCAGAAAUGCCAGAAAUGCCAGAGCUUAUGCAUCACAUGCAUUCAUAAAACGCACUGCAGCUUGCCUUAAUGUACUGGGCUUGUAUAUGUGCCGGUAUUUAUGUAUGCUAAAUGGCUUCUUUAAAGAUUCUUAACUUUUUUAGACAGUCGUGCUCAGAUGUUUGCAUACCCCUUAGGGAAUCGGUAAGAUAAAUCAUCUAAAAUAAGAUCAUGAAAAUGUAAUUUAGUAUUGCCCUGAAGAAGCUGCAUAAAAGAUAUUUGUGUAAAUUAAAAAAAAAAAAAAAAAAAAAAAAAAAA